GGAGUAGCUCAGCUUGGUAGAGCAUCUGCUUUGGGAGCAGAGGGUCGCAGGUUCGAAUCCUGUCUCC
rnacentral:tRNA from 1 species